rnacentral:rRNA from 1 species
CGAAUGCUGACAUAAGUAACGAUAAAGCGGGUGAAAAGCCCGCUCGCCGGAAGACCAAGGGUUCCUGUCCAACGUUAAUCGGGGCAGGGUGAGUCGACCCCUAAGGCGAGGCCGAAAGGCGUAGUCGAUGGGAAACAGGUUAAUAUUCCUGUACUUGGUGUUACUGCGAAGGGGGGACGGAGAAGGCUAUGUUGGCCGGGCGACGGUUGUCCCGGUUUAAGCGUGUAGGCUGGUUUUCCAGGCAAAUCCGGAAAAUCAAGGCUGAGGCGUGAUGACGAGGCACUACGGUGCUGAAGCAACAAAUGCCCUGCUUCCAGGAAAAGCCUCUAAGCAUCAGGUAACAUCAAAUCGUACCCCAAACCGACACAGGUGGUCAGGUAGAGAAUACCAAGGCGCUUGAGAGAACUCGGGUGAAGGAACUAGGCAAAAUGGUGCCGUAACUUCGGGAGAAGGCACGCUGAUAUGUAGGUGAAGUCC